GACGAACGCUGGCGGCGUGCCUAAUACAUGCAAGUUGAGCGCUGAAGGUUGGUACUUGUACCAACUGGAUGAGCAGCGAACGGGUGAGUAACGCGUGGGGAAUCUGCCUUUGAGCGGGGGACAACAUUUGGAAACGAAUGCUAAUACCGCAUAAAAACUUUAAACACAAGUUUUAAGUUUGAAAGAUGCAAUUGCACCACUCAAAGAUGAUCCCGCGUUGUAUUAGCUAGUUGGUGAGGUAAAGGCUCACCAAGGCGAUGAUACAUAGCCGACCUGAGAGGGGGAUCGGCCACAUUGGGACUGAGACACGGCCCAAACUCCUACGGGAGGCAGCAGUAGGGAAUCUUCGGCAAUGGACGAAAGUCUGACCGAGCAACGCCGCGUGAGUGAAGAAGGUUGUCGGAUCGUAAAACUCUGUUGGUAGAGAAGAACGUUGGUGAGAGUGGAAAGCUCAUCAAGUGACGGUAACUACCCAGAAAGGGACGGCUAACUACGUG
rnacentral:rRNA from 1 species